rnacentral:lncRNA from 12 species
UAGAGACUCCAGGAAGUGUUUCAUCCAGGGGAGGCACAAAGCCUGGCUGCACGAAGGUUGAAGCAAUUACUGAAAUGUCAGGGCUGCGCAGCAAAGAGAAGGAAGAAGAAAGGGAUUUUCCUGUCAAAGGGAUCAUGGAAACAUGUAAGUAUAGAUUGAUGAAUGGUUUGCUGAACCAAGUAAACUCUGCAUUCACCUGAAAAGCACUUAAACUCCUUUUAUGUAAGACAUAAUCAAAUCUAUAUCCUAUUCUCUAUUUUUCUUGAUAAUUGCAUUAGCAAUAUCAAUAAUUAUUGCAAUAGUAAUUGCAAUAAUUCUCCUCUUAAAUAAUAUUUUUUCUGAUU